rnacentral:rRNA from 1 species
GACGAACGCUGGCGGCGUGCUUAACACAUGCAAGUCGAACGAAGUGGCGAACGGGUGAGUAACGCGUAAUCAACCUGCCCUUCAGAGGGGGACAACAGUUGGAAACGACUGCUAAUACCGAAUACUGCAGGAGGGGAUUGCGUCUGAUUAGCUAGUUGGAGGGGUAAAGGCCAACCAAGGCGAUGAUCAGUAGACGGUCUGAGAGAAUGAACUGCCCCAUUGGGACUGCGACACGGCCCAGACUCCUACGGGAGGCAGCCGUGGGGAAUCUUCCGCAAUGAACGAAAGUCUGACUGAGCAACGCGGCGUGAGUGAUGACGGCCUACGGGUUGUAAAGCUCUGUUAAUCGGGACGCGGUACCGGAAUAGAAAGCCACGGCUAACUACGUGCCAGCCGCCGCGGUAAUUC